ensembl:lncRNA
GGGUUUCCAGGUCAACCUUAUGGCAAUGACUGUGGUGUCUUUAUGUUAAAGGUAAGAUUGUUUGUUGUUGUUGUUUAUCCUCUGGCUGUUUUUAAUCUUUUUUGCCUCAAUGAUUUUUCCUGUAUAGUCUGCAUUUUACAUGGUGAUGGAUUCCUCAUUUGACUUCACAAUUCUGGACAUGUCAGAACUGAGGAAAUGGUGGUGUGUGAUGUUAAUGGAGAACUAUGGGCUGGAUAGCCACGGAAAGGUUUUUGCACACUUCACUGAGGAGUCUAAAGCCGUACUAAGCGGUGAUUGGCAGCCUGCUUUCAGACUAAGGAAGAGGAAGCUAGAGGACACCUGUCAGGAAGAGCCACAACAUUGGGUUCAGGAAUCAUCAUCACAGGCAGAUGAUGCAAGUAUAAACGUACUGCAUCCUGUGAUGGAGGAUGUACUACUUGAAUCAUCACAAGAGAACCAACUGAUGAGAGAUUUAAAGGAAGCCAGUAAGUGGUGUUCAGGAACAGUCAAGUGUGCUGCUUGGUUCUGUUCAGCUGCCCAGAAUACUCUGUAUGGAGGAUGAAGAUGUUGAUGAGGCCAUGGACAAAUUACAGAAAGCUCAAUUUUCAGAGGACAGAAUUGAUGCUCUGGAACCUUUCUGCUUUAUUUUUACUGAGAAGGAGGGCAUGGACUUGUUCCUUGAACAUGUAGUUGAUGUCAUGAAUCUGAAAGUAUUCUGUCAACUGAAACUAAAGAAAAUACAUAAUGUGCUUCUUUUCAGAAACAAAAGAAAAUGCCUAAUGUGCCUCUUUUUUUUUCUUUGAUAAUGAUUAGCUUUCCUGGUAUAAAUGUUAAAAAAGUCGCAGCCCACUUUAAUGACAAAGUAACAUUACAACAUUAUAAUCAUACAAUAAACAAGCAGCAAAAAAUUACUCUCGGGAGGAAAAGUUUCUGUCUCAUUAUAGAACUAAAGUACUUUAAAUCGUUUUCAUUGGCAAUGCGAACGAAUGAAAGGAUGGAAACUUAUUUCCGGUUUAUUUGUGUCGAUUGCAAGUGACGUGGCAGGAGACUGCAGGUGUCUGAGAGUGCAAGUCUGACAGUGCAAGUGCAAGUCUGCAGCCAGACCCUUCUCAAAAGCAUGACUAAUAGCAAAAGCUAAGAAGCAAAGCUAAAAGCAGGAUUUGAUGGUGUCCUCAGUAUUUAAACUGGCCUGUUGGCCACACCUCAAAUGUUGUCUUGACCAAUCAGAUAUUGUCUUGGCUCGGGGGUAUCAUAAAUCAUAUGUUAUCUCAUCAAGCACGUGGUCUGAGUUUUCCCGCUCUUGCAAGGUCUAAUUUUGGACAUGAUUCCUAUAACAAGAAUAUGAUACAUUUGACAAAUAACUGAUGGUCAGAACUGUUUUAAGCUAACAGAUUUAAACACAUACAUAUGAAACAUGAAUAUGUAUCCUUAAGCUAUCCAUUAGUUAUUAAAAGACAUACACAAUAAGUGAUUAUAACAUGAUAGUCAAAUGUGUGGGUUACAUAUAAAUGAAUAUGGAGUUAAGCAAUGGACUGAUAUUAAGAAGUCUUUUUGAGUUCAUUAAAAGACAGUUCUUGUGCCAUUGUCUGACAAAAGAUGUUCUGUGGGGACAAGAGGUUAAAAGGUCCCCUUAGGAAUUUCAGUCUGGUUCUGCUAGGUGCCAUCACCUGCUUUCAUCUCCGCUGUCACCUGCUUUCAGAUGGAGCCGCAUUUACUACAAAGAGCCGUAGUUCACU